UCUCCUUCUCAAAAAACAAAUACUACUGCAUCAUUGUGUUUCUCUUCCCCGAGAGAAGGAGGACGUACGUCCAUGCAGUAAACCAAGAACAAGAAGUUGAACAAAAGUUAAGCUCCCAUUUCUGACACAUCCCAUUUCUAUGAAAUCUGGCAUCACAUCUACCCUGCUAAAUGUGACCGUAAUAGCUACAAAGAGAGACAAACCUUUUGCUAAAAAAAGAGACAGACCAAGCAUCACUUCAACUUAUGCUACUCCACAGCCCCAUGGGGUUUGUAAUUGUACUGGGGGUGUGAAGAGUGGUUCGCCAUAUAAUGGUGUGCCAUAAGCAACC
rnacentral:lncRNA from 1 species